rnacentral:lncRNA from 1 species
GCCGAGUAAUACUCAAGCUCGGCUUGAAAUGAAUUUCGAGCCUUUUAUUUUGUUCAAGCUCGGCUCAUUUAAUUUCGAGUCGAGCUCGAGCGAGCCAAAUAUCGAGCCGAACACGAGUCGAACGCGAGCCGGCUCGCUCGUUUGCCAGCCCUAUUGAUUAGUGUCACAGGCUGCUCCAUUUAAUUUAGAAAAAACUUCAAAUAUCCCCCCAUGCGAUUUAGUACUUUUUCACCAUAGUACAAUUGGUUUACAGUUUAUUACUUCAGUACUCUACGGUGUCAUUUUUCUCUUUUCGUCAGCACUCCGUUAACUCACCGUUAAAAUAUAUAAAAAAAACUUCAAAUAUUUUCUUGUGGUUUAUCAAAUAUUCACUUUAAUACCCUAUAUUUUAUAAAAUUUUUAUUUUAGCACCCAGUAGUUUUAACUUUCUCACUGAUUAUUUAAAAUAUUAACAGA